AGUGCAUGUGGCGGAUGCCUUGGCGAUCACAGGCGAAGAAAGACGCGGCAGCCUGCGAAAAGCUGCGGGGAGCUGGCAAACGAGCUUUGAUCCGCAGAUAUCUGAAUGGGGAAACCCACACCGCAAGGUGUAUCCGUAACUGAAUACAUAGGUUACGGAGGCGAACGAGGAGAACUGAAACAUCUAAGUAUCCUCAGGAAAAGAAAUCAACCGAGAUUCCGGCAGUAGCGGCGAGCGAACCCGGAGGAGCCCAGCUUUUGAUAGUACGAACUUUAGCCGAAAGGACCUGGAAAGGCCUGCUAUAGUGGGUGAUAGCCCCGUAGGCGAAAGAGUUGGUACGGUACUAAGGAAGCGAGAAGUAGAGCGGGACACGUGGAAUCCUGUUCGAAGACGGGGGGACCAUCCUCCAAGGCUAAAUACUCGUGAUCGACCGAUAGUGAACCAGUACCGUGAGGGAAAGGCGAAAAGAACCCCGGGAGGGGAGUGAAAUAGAACCUGAAACCGCAUGCAUACAAACAGUAGGAGCCUUUACGGAGGUGACUGCGUACCUUUUGCAUAAUGGGUCAGCGACUUACAUUCUGUGGCGAGCUUAACCGAAUAGGGGAGGCGCAGCGAAAGCGAGUUCGAAAUGAGCGUUCAGUCGCAGGGUGUAGACCCGAAACCAGAUGAGCUAUCCAUGGCCAGGUUGAAGGUGUGGUAACACACACUGGAGGACCGAACCGACUAGUGUUGCAAAAUUAGCGGAUGAGCUGUGGAUAGGGGUGAAAGGCCAAACAAAUCUGGAGAUAGCUGGUUCUCCCCGAAAACUAUUGAGGUAGUGCCUCGUGUGUCGCUCCAGGGGGUAGAGCACUGUUUUGGCUAGGGGGACAUGGAGUCUUACCAAACCAAGGCAAACUCCGAAUACCUGGAAGCGUAAGCACGGGAGACAGAGCACCGGGUGCUAACGUCCGGACUCAAAAGGGAAACAACCCAGACCGCCGGCUAAGGUCCCAAAUAACAGCUAAGUGGAAAACGAAGUGGAAAGGCCGUGACAACCAGGAAGUUGGCUUAGAAGCAGCCAUCCUUCAAAGAAAGCGUAAUAGCUCACUGGUCGAGUCCUUCUGCGCGGAAGAUGUAACGGGGCUAAGCUGUUAACCGAAGCCGCGGAUGCACUGGUUAUCCAGUGCGUGGUAGGGGAGCGUUCUGUAAGUCUGCGAAGGCGGUUCGAGAGGACUGCUGGAGAUAUCAGAAGUGCGAAUGCUGACAUGAGUAACGUUAAAGCAGGUGAAAAGCCUGCUCGCCGUAAGCCCAAGGAUUCCUGCUCUACGUUCAUCGGAGCAGGGUGAGUCGGCUCCUAAGGUCAGGCCGAAAGGCGUAGCCGAUGGGAAUCAGGUUAAUAUUCCUGAACCUGCGUCAGAUGCGAUGGGGGGACGGAGCAUGGAAGAUCAUCCGGGUGUUGGAAGUCCCGGUUGUUUAGCGUAGGAGGUCUGCAGGCAAAUCCGCAGACGCAUCUCCAAGGCAAAGACACGUGCCGCCACGGCGGCGAAGUGAUCGGAAGUGCUUCCAAGAAAAGCCUCUAAGCACCAGUCUGAUGCGGACCGUACCGUAAACCGACACUGGUGGGCGAGCUGAAUAUGCUCAGGCGCUUGAGAGAACUCGGGAGAAGGAACUCGGCAAAUUGACACCGUAACUUCGGAAGAAGGUGUGCCGUAGUACCGUGAGAGGAGAGACACCUUGAGCGGGAAACGGUCUCAGAGAAUAGGUGGCUGCGACUGUUUAUUAAAAACACAGCACUCUGCAAAGUCGAAAGACGACGUAUAGGGUGUGAUGCCUGCCCGGUGCUGGAAGAUUAAUUGAUGGGGUGAGAGCCCUUGAUCGAAGUCCCAGUAAACGGCGGCCGUAACUAUAACGGUCCUAAGGUAGCGAAAUUCCUUGUCGGGUAAGUUCCGACCUGCACGAAUGGCAUAACGAUGGCCACACUGUCUCCUCCCGAGACUCAGUGAAGUUGAAAUGUUUGUGAUGAUGCAAUCUACCCGCGGCUAGACGGAAAGACCCCAUGAACCUUUACUGCAGCUUUGCAUUGAACUGUGAACCGAUUUGUGUAGGAUAGGUGGGAGGCAGAGAAGAGGCCACGCCAGUGGUCUUGGAGCCGACCUUGAAAUACCACCCUGAUUUGUUUGCGGUUCUAACCACGGACAGUGAUCCUGUCUUGGGACCGUGCAUGGUAGGCAGUUUGACUGGGGCGGUCUCCUCCUAAAGGGUAACGGAGGAGUACGAAGGUACGCUAGGUACGGUCGGAAAUCGUGCUGAUAGUGCAAUGGCAAAAGCGUGCUUGACUGCGAGAGCAACAACUCGAGCAGAUGCGAAAGCAGGUCAUAGUGAUCCGGUGGCUCUGAAUGGAAGGGCCAUCGCUCAACGGAUAAAAGGUACUCUGGGGAUAACAGGCUGAUACCGCCCAAGAGUUCAUAUCGACGGCGGUGUUU
rnacentral:rRNA from 1 species